GAGUCGUAACAAGGUAACCGUAGGUGAACCUGCGGUUGGAUCAUUAAAAAAUAAAAAUUCCUGCUUCUGGAACGGCAUUAGCUUGCGCAAUGUUGCAUUGCUUUUGCUUGGUAAACUUGAAGAUAGAACCUCUGAAAAAGGGGCUUGGAUAGGGAAUCUUUGGUAGUCCAUAUCCUACUAGGGGUAUGGUGCAAAGGUUCCCUGUUUGGGAUGUUCAAGGAAGGACCACAGAAGUACAUUUUUUCACAUCUUUGUGCACUGUUCAACGUCUCUGGUGGGAGGGUAGUGCAAACUACUUGUCAGCAUUGUCUAUUUUAAUAGAUGUGCCGUGGACAGCCCAUCAAACAUGUGUCUUUACAUUCAUUGCUGACUUUAUCUCUGUCUAAAUUAGCUUGUAUAAAUAUACAUAAAACAA
rnacentral:misc_RNA from 1 species